rnacentral:lncRNA from 1 species
CUCAUAAAUCAUGACACGAUACCACCCUUCGUGCAAUAACACUCUCCGUCACCAAAAACAAUGCACAAUAAUAUCAGGGAGAUAGAAAUAUCAAGAACAAAUCUUAAUUGCUUCAACAUUUGGUUCCACACUACCAACCUCAACUUUGAAUCAAUAUUCUAUCAAUACCAAAAUCUGAAAAUAUGAUAAGAAUGAUAAACGUAACGAUAAGCUAGUCUAAACAUUGGUAAUAUGAUCACGGAAAGCGACAAUUUCAUGAAUAUGACUCACUUGCAUGCUAUGACUCGACAACAACGCAUAGGUACUCGUCACCUCACCUUUACGAUG